rnacentral:tRNA from 1 species
GGGGAGAUUCCCGAGCGGUCAAAGGUGGCAGACUGUAAAUCUGUUGCUUACAGCUUCGUAGGUUCGAAUCCUUCUCUCCCCA